rnacentral:pre_miRNA from 1 species
UGGAAAGUUCAUUGUUCGACACCAUGGAUCUCCAGGUGGGUCACGUUUAGAGAUACACCAACCUGGAAGACUCCAUGCUGUUGAGCUGUUCAUGA